rnacentral:hammerhead_ribozyme from 1 species
GCACUGCUGAGGAGUCCGACAAUCGAACGAAACGGUCGUCCAGUGC